CUAGUCUCUCAUAGAAACUUCUGGCCUCUGGACACUGUGGGAGCAACUUUUCCUUUAUUAGACUGUCUCCUCUUUAACUGUACCUAGAAGAUACUUUAGCACAGCAAGCAUCUCUUUUAUGCUUACAUUAUGCAGUUAUGCAGACUUGGUGUACGUCCUUCAAGGACAGUCUAAGAAUCUUUGAUUCUAUUUCUGCUGGAUACAUUGUUGCAGAGAUGUAAGAAGGAAGGACUUAGAAAAGAGAUAGACCAGUGCAAUGGACCUCAUAACCACAUACAAUCUAGUUUUAUGGGGAAACUCCUUGUAUAAAAGAAUAUUGCAGCAUGACUGGGAAGCCUGUCCUUCAUUACUUCAAUUGAAGAAGAAGAAUGGAGUCCAUCCGGUGGCUCCUGGCAGCAGCUGGAGUAGAGUUUGAGGAAGAACUUUUUGAAACCCAUGAAGAGUUUGAGAAGUUAAUCCAAGGUGGAACCCUGAUGUACGAGCAAGUGCCCAUGGUGGAAAUCGAUGGAAUGACUUUGGUGCAGACCAGUGCCAUCUUAAGAUAUGUAGCUGCAAAAUAUGACUUGUAUGGAAGGAACCUGGAGGAACAAGCCUGGAUUGAUAUGUAUGUAGAGGGCUUAAGAGACCUGAGCGACAUGAUAAUGUACUUUCCACUCUCUCUGCCAGAAGAGAAGGAGAUGAACCUUGAAUACAUCCUCCACCGAGCUACAACAAGAUUCUUCCCCGUUUAUGAGAAGGCCCUGAGAGACCACGGGCAAGACUUUCUUGUGGGCAAUCGGCUGAGCUUGGCUGAUGUCCAGCUCCUUGAAGUCAUCUUAAUGGCUGAAGAAUGCAAAGCCAGUGUUCUCUCGGGUUUCCCUCUGCUACAGGACUUCAAGGUGAGAACCAGCCAAAUUCCUACAAUUAACAGCUUCCUCCAACCUGGAAGCCAGAGGAAGCCUCCUUUGGAGGAGCGAUCCAUUGGGACUGCAAAGGACAUAUUCAAAUUUGAAUGAGGACUGUUUCUUAAAAACAUGAGCAAUAUAGUAGCUGAGUAUUAACAGCUACAGAGGCUGGAGUUACUCAGUAAGUAUACUGAGUAACUUGACACUGCAUUCAUAAAAAGACACUCACUAAGUAUAUGGCCAGAGAAAUAUCCUGAAGUUAGUAAUAAAUGUUAGGAAUCUUAGUAUGUUAGCAAUGUUAGAAUGUUAGUAAUGGAAAUAUUAAAUGUGUAAGAGAAAAACUACUAGAAGCUUAUCAAUAAACUACAAGAACCAACUCUUGUUUGAAGUAAGACAGGCUACCAAGACAGAAUUCAGAAAAUCCAAGGAGCCCUCGGCCUUCUGUAUGAUCCUAGAAUAAACUUGUAUGUAGCAAGUGAAA
rnacentral:lncRNA from 1 species